rnacentral:rRNA from 1 species
UGGGGAAUAUUGGACAAUGGGCGCAAGCCUGAUCCAGCCAUGCCGCGUGAGUGAUGAAGGCCUUAGGGUUGUAAAGCUCUUUCGCCGGUGAAGAUAAUGACGGUAACCGGAGAAGAAGCCCCGGCUAACUUCGUGCCAGCAGCCGCGGUAAUACGAAGGGGGCUAGCGUUGCUCGGAAUCACUGGGCGUAAAGCGCACGUAGGCGGAUCGUUAAGUCAGGGGUGAAAUCCUGGAGCUCAACUCCAGAACUGCCCUUGAUACUGGCGAUCUCGAGUUCGAGAGAGGUUGGUGGAACUCCGAGUGUAGAGGUGAAAUUCGUAGAUAUCGGAAGAACACCAGUGGCGAAGGCGGCCAACUGGCUCGAUACUGACGCUGAGGUGCGAAAGCGUGGGGAGCAAAACAGGAUUAGAUACCCUGGUAGUCCACGCCGUAAACGAUGGAUGCUAGCCGUUGGGGGGUUUACCUCUCAGUGGCGCAGCUAACGCCUUAAGCAUCCCGCCUGGGGAGUACGGUCGCAAGAUUAAAACUCAAAGG